AGUGAACGCUGGCGGCAGGCCUAACACAUGCAAGUCGAACGGUAGCACAGAGAGCUUGCUCUCGGGUGACGAGUGGCGGACGGGUGGGUAAUGUCUGGGAAACUGCCUGAUGGAGGGGGAUAACUACUGGAAACGGUAGCUAAUACCGCAUAAUGUCGCAAGACCAAAGAGAGGGGCCUUCGGGCCUCUUUCCAUCGGAUGUGCGCAGAUGGGAUUAGCUAGUUGGUGAGGUAAUGGCUCACCAAGGCGACGAUCCCUAGCUGGUCUGAGAGGAUGACCAGCCACACUGGAACUGAGACACGGUCCAGACUCCUACGGGAGGCAGCAGUGGGGAAUAUUGGACAAUGGGCGCAAGCCUGAUGCAGCCAUGCCGCGUGUAUGAAGAAGGCCUUCGGGUUGUAAAGUACUUUUAGCGGGGAGGAAGGCCAUGAGGUUAAUAACCGUGUUGAUUGACGUUACCCGAAGAAGAAGCACCGGCUAACUUCGUG
rnacentral:rRNA from 1 species